rnacentral:rRNA from 1 species
AGAGUUUGAUCAUGGCUCAGAUUGAACGCUGGCGGCAGGCCUAACACAUGCAAGUCGAACGGUAACAGGAAGCAGCUUGCUGCUUCGCUGACGAGUGGCGGACGGGUGAGUAAUGUCUGGGAAGCUGCCUGAUGGAGGGGGAUAACUACUGGAAACGGUAGCUAAUACCGCAUAAUGUCGCAAGACCAAAGAGGGGGACCUUCGGGCCUCUUGCCAUCGGAUGUGCCCAGAUGGGAUUAGCUUGUUGGUGGGGUAACGGCUCACCAAGGCGACGAUCCCUAGCUGGUCUGAGAGGAUGACCAGCCACACUGGAACUGAGACACGGUCCAGACUCCUACGGGAGGCAGCAGUGGGGAAUAUUGCACAAUGGGCGCAAGCCUGAUGCAGCCAUGCCGCGUGUAUGAAGAAGGCCUUCGGGUUGUAAAGUACUUUCAGCGGGGAGGAAGGGAGUAAAGUUAAUACCUUUGCUCAUUGACGUUACCCGCAGAAGAAGCACCGGCUAACUCCGUGCCAGCAGCCGCGGUAAUACGGAGGGUGCAAGCGUUAAUCGGAAUUACUGGGCGUAAAGCGCACGCAGGCGGUUUGUUAAGUCAGAUGUGAAAUCCCCGGGCUCAACCUGGGAACUGCAUCUGAUACUGGCAAGCUUGAGUCUCGUAGAGGGGGGUAGAAUUCCAGGUGUAGCGGUGAAAUGCGUAGAGAUCUGGAGGAAUACCGGUGGCGAAGGCGGCCCCCUGGACGAAGACUGACGCUCAGGUGCGAAAGCGUGGGGAGCAAACAGGAUUAGAUACCCUGGUAGUCCACGCCGUAAACGAUGUCGACUUGGAGGUUGUGCCCUUGAGGCGUGGCUUCCGGAGCUAACGCGUUAAGUCGACCGCCUGGGGAGUACAGCCGCAAGGUUAAAACUCAAAUGAAUUGACGGGGGCCCGCACAAGCGGUGGAGCAUGUGGUUUAAUUCGAUGCAACGCGAAGAACCUUACCUGGUCUUGACAUCCACGGAAGUUUUCAGAGAUGAGAAUGUGCCUUCGGGAACCGUGAGACAGGUGCUGCAUGGCUGUCGUCAGCUCGUGUUGUGAAAUGUUGGGUUAAGUCCCGCAACGAGCGCAACCCUUAUCCUUUGUUGCCAGCGGUCCGGCCGGGAACUCAAAGGAGACUGCCAGUGAUAAACUGGAGGAAGGUGGGGAUGACGUCAAGUCAUCAUGGCCCUUACGACCAGGGCUACACACGUGCUACAAUGGCGCAUACAAAGAGAAGCGACCUCGCGAGAGCAAGCGGACCUCAUAAAGUGCGUCGUAGUCCGGAUUGGAGUCUGCAACUCGACUCCAUGAAGUCGGAAUCGCUAGUAAUCGUGGAUCAGAAUGCCACGGUGAAUACGUUCCCGGGCCUUGUACACACCGCCCGUCACACCAUGGGAGUGGGUUGCAAAAGAAGUAGGUAGCUUAACCUUCGGGAGGGCGCUUACCACUUUGUGAUUCAUGACUGGGGUGAAGUCGAACAAGGUAACCGUAGGGGAACCUGCGGUUG